UGAACAAAUAAAGAAAUUCACUGAUAAAAUAAUGCUAAAUUUUUUCAAUUUAUAAUAAUUUCAACUCAUGCAAAUAUUAAAACGAGAUAUUCAUUUUCAGGGCUGAUACUUGGGUUUUACUCUUUUUUCUUGUCAGUUUGUAAGGGUAGUUUGUAAUUUGUUUGCGGUAAUUUGUCGUUAUUGUGUUUGAGAUGUUUGUUUGCAGGAAAAGUUGAAGAGCCAAAUGUAAUUUUUAUUUUGGUUUACUUGACUUUGUAAUUGUAUUUGAGUUUGUUUGUAAAGGUAGAUGUAAUUUGUUUGUUGUAGUUUCUCGUUAUUGUGUUUGAGAUGUUUGUUAUCUGAAAAAGUUGAAGAGCUAAAUGUAAUUUUUGUUUUGGUGUACUUGAGUUUGUGAUUGUAUUUGAGUUUGUUUGUAAUUGUAUUAAAAUUUCAGUGCCUACUUGUUGAAAUUUGUUGUUUUAGUUUGUUGUAAUUUCACUCGAGUUAGUUGUUUGUUUCAUUUGUUUGGAAUUGAAAAAAAAUCAAUUGGAUUUUUCUUUCAGUGUACUUGGAUUUGUAACUGUAUUUGAGUUUGUUUGUAUUUUUUUUCCAAUUUCGGUUUCUAAUUAUAAUUUGUUUGCUUUGCAUUGUUCAUAUCGAUCUAUCGUCAUGUAGGUUUUUAGUGUUCAAAUUCAUCCUUUAACUAAGUUAUGGUAGUAUAAUUUAAAAAUUAUUGUUUGAUUAGUUAGUAAAAAAAUAAAAAUAAUUGACUAAUCAAAUAAUAAAAUAAUGAGGUAAAAUUUUUAUUUUGGUUUACUUGACUUUGUAAUUGUAUUUGAGUUUGUUUGUAAAGGUAGAUGUAAUUUGUUUGUUGUAGUUUCUCGUUAUUGUGUUUGAGAUGUUUGUUAUCUGAAAAAGUUGAAGAGCUAAAUGUAAUUUUUGUUUUGGUGUACUUGAGUUUGUGAUUGUAUUUGAGUUUGUUUGUAAUUGUAUUAAAAUUUCAGUGCCUACUUGUUGAAAUUUGUUGUUUUAGUUUGUU
rnacentral:lncRNA from 1 species